GGCCAUGUCCAUCAUGAACUCCUUCAUCAACGACAUCUUCGAGAAGCUCGCGGCCGAGUCCGCCAAGCUGGCGCGCUACAACAAGAAGCCCACCAUCACCUCCCGCGAGAUCCAGACCUCGGUGCGCCUCGUCCUCCCCGGCGAGCUCGCCAAGCACGCCGUCUCCGAGGGCACUAAGGCCGUUACGAAGUUCACCUCGUCUUAGGAUCCUUGUAAUGGUCAUGUGGGCGUCGGCGGUAGGCGUGGCUCAGUUUAUGUGAUACUGCUAGCGAUGGAUGAUGAUGAUCUGCGUGUAAUUGAAUUAAAGAAUUGUGCUGAUCUUUCUACAACACUGUUCCACAUCACUCGUUGCCCGCCAGUGAGCCGCCAAUUACAUGUGCAAAUCUACAUCAACUUUCUGAAAGAAGCUAGUU
rnacentral:lncRNA from 1 species